GUGUCAGCCGCCGCGGUAAUACGGAGGAUCCAAGCGUUAUCCGGAUUUAUUGGGUUUAAAGGGUGCGUAGGCGGACCCGUAAGUCAGUGGUGAAAGUUUGCAGCUCAACUGUAAAAUUGCCAUUGAAACUACGGAUCUUGAGUGUAAAUGAGGUAGGCGGAAUGUGUUGUGUAGCGGUGAAAUGCUUAGAUAUAACACAGAACACCAAUUGCGAAGGCAGCUUACUAGGAUACAACUGACGCUGAGGCACGAAAGCGUGGGGAUCAAACAGGAUUAGAAACCCCCGUAGUCC
rnacentral:rRNA from 1 species